rnacentral:misc_RNA from 1 species
AAGUUGCCGCGACCAAUGACAGGUGGCGGCAGGAAUCCGUGCGAUUUCCCAAAGCUUCGACGGUCACCGAUGGUCAUCAACUCGUCACUCGAGUUGCCGGUACUUGUACGAGGCUCGAAAAUGGCAGACACGAGCCAACAAGGAUUAACCGAGCCACACACGAACGGAGUGGUGGACGGUUUGACGGAAGAGGAAAAAAGCAAGAUGAGACCCGCCGAUAUCGAUGCGGAUAUGAGAGAAAUGGAGAGGAGAAAGAGGGUCGAGAUGAUGAUGAACUCACGAAUCUUCCGGGAAGAGCUGGAACGUAUAAUUGAGACACAGAUGAGGGACGGUGCUGGACCCUCUGGUCUUCUGCAACAGAUCUCUGAUAUGAUGGGUGCACAGGGAGCCCGAUUCAACGGCAAUGUGUUCAAAAAUUCGAAUUGCGUCUUACCUAUCAACGACAUACGCGGCGUGGAAAGUAUGGGAUACGCCAAGGGUGAAAAGUUGUUGCGGUGCAAGUUAGCGGCGGUCUUCAGAUUGCUCGAUCUUUAUGGAUGGACGCAGGGCGUCGGCGGGCAAAUCACCGCCCGUCUCAAUCAGGAUCAGGAACACUUUUUAGUGAAUCCUUACGGGCUACUCUAUCACGAGGUCACCGCCUCAAGUUUGAUCAAGGUGGACAUGCAGGGCACAAUUGUCGAACAGGGGACGACGAACUUUGGCGUGCACGUCACCAGUUUCCAAUUACACUCGACAAUACACGCUGCGAGACCCGAUAUCAAGUGUAUUAUUCAUAUUACUACUCCGUCCGUUACCGCUGUUUCCUCCUUGAAGUGUGGAUUGUUACCAAUCGGUCAGGAGAGCAUAGUAAUAGGCGAAGUGAGCACCCAUCAGUACAUAGGAGGUUCAGUCGAGCCAGAGGAACGGGAGAAGAUCGCUAGAAACCUUGGACCGAUCAAUAAGGUUAUGCUUCUGACGAAUCGCGGUGCCCUUUGCUGUGGAGAAACAGUGGAAGAGGCAUUCUUUAAUGUUUACAAUACCGUAGUCGCUUGUGAGACGCAGCUGAAACUAAUGCCCGCGGGCGUAGACAAUCUAAGCCUUAUCAGCGAGGAAUCGAAGAAAGCUAUAUUCGAAGCGUCGCGAAAGCCACCGAUUCCUCAACAACAGAGCUCAGCGGUAGAGUCGUCCGCUCUCGCCGAGAAACUCGAGAAACGCUGGAGAAUCGGCGGCGCUGAAUUCGAGGCCCUUAUGAGAAUGCUCGACAAUGCUGGUUUCCGUACGGGUUACAUAUAUAGAAAUCCACUUGUAAAGGGAGAACUCCCAAAACCACGAAACGAUGUUGAAGUUCCACCGGCCGUAUCGUCCUUAGGAUAUCUACUUGAAGAGGAAGAAUUGUAUAAACAGGGACUGUGGAAGGGCGGACGUAAAGGCACAGACAGAUCCCGUUGGUUAAAUUCGCCGAACGUAUAUCAGAAGGUUGAGAUCUUGGAAACUGGAACACCCGAUCCUAAAAAAAUCACCAAGUGGGUGUCUGAUGGAUCUCCUACUCAUCAUAGCAGCAGCACACCAGUCAAGAUAGAAGGUGCUCUUCAGUUUGUUCCGAAAAAUACCAAUCCAAAGGAGUUCAAACAAAUACAACAACAGAUUAAAGAUUACCGACGAGCAGAGAAAAUAUCGGCUGGUCCGCAAUCCCAUAUAUUGGAAGGUGUAUCAUGGGAGGAAGCUAAGAAAAUGCAGGACGCGACAAUUAGUGGUACCGGAGAACAAGUAGUUUUAGUAGGAGCCGCUAGCAAGGGUAUUAUACAGCGUGGUUUCCAACACAAUGCGAUGGUGUACAAGACACCUUAUGCCAAAAAUCCUUUCGACGCCGUCACGGAUCAAGAGUUGGAUCAGUACAAGAGAGAAGUCGAACGCAAACAGAAAGGAGAUCCUUGAGAGAACACCGUAAACGGCGAUCACUCGGACGCUCAUCACAGUACUUUUUCGCAUAGUAGCAAGGAGGGUUCCAUGUCACAGGAUGUGAGCGUUAGCGAGGAAUCGCCAAAGAAGGAAAAGAAGAA